rnacentral:rRNA from 1 species
GUAGGGUGCAAGCGUUAAUCGGAAUUACUGGGCGUAAAGCGUGCGCAGGCGGUUUUGUAAGUCUGUCGUGAAAGCCCCGGGCUCAACCUGGGAAUUGCGAUGGAGACUGCAAGGCUUGAAUCUGGCAGAGGGGGGUAGAAUUCCACGUGUAGCAGUGAAAUGCGUAGAGAUGUGGAGGAACACCGAUGGCGAAGGCAGCCCCCUGGGUCAAGAUUGACGCUCAUGCACGAAAGCGUGGGGGGAGCAAACAGGAUUAGAUACCCUGGUAGUCCACGCCCCUAAACGGUGUCUACUAGUUGUCGGGUUUUAGUUAACUUGGUAACGCAGCUAACGCGUGAAGUAGACCGCCUGGGGAUACGGUCGCAAGAUUA